rfam:Musca domestica strain aabys unplaced genomic scaffold Scaffold700, whole genome shotgun sequence.
UAAGUGAUGAGUUUAAUUGGUCCGUGUUUAUGAAUUUAUUUUGAUUAUCUCCUUCCAAUUACUGAUUUUC